rnacentral:lncRNA from 12 species
GAGAAAUUAAGAAGAGAAACCCUCAUGAAAUGACAUAUUUAAAGACACAUUAAUUACAUACAGAAAAAAGGUAAAUCUGACUUUCUUUCCCUCUUGUUAAGUAAUGCAGAUAAUUCACACAGCUAUGGAGAUCGUUAUUCAAAAUCACCAUGAACCUUCUGGCUCCUGGAAGACAGCCAAUGAAAGUCCCAGAGCUGAAAGGGGCCUGUCUUAACUACCAAUCUGAGUUACCACUGACACCGAGCAAAACAUGUCUUUCACAUGCAUCAUUGGAUUACAAUCUCAAGUCUGGGAUCCCAGUGGAAUUGAGUAUCCAUUGAGAAUUUACUGUGCUCUAGGCACGGAACAAGACGCUUCGGGUCCUUCAAAGACAACACCUAAUUAUCCCCAGAGAAGUCAUGGCUGAAAAGAUGGGAUGGUGAGAGUCCCUAGAUCCAUUCUAGACAUGAGUUUCUCUGGAAGUUUCCUGCCACUGCCAAAGGUGUUUCUUGCCCACCUGUCGAGAAAAUUCUUGACUGCCUGAUUUCUCCAAAUAGUAAGUGUUCUUGGAGCAAUCAAAUGAUUUUUUAAAACAGCAGGCGGGAUGAUAAUGUUUUAAAAUAGAGUCUAUCUGCCAUCUUGUAGCUUCCAUUCUCAUUCCAGAUGAAGUACUGGGGGUGCCAGAGUCCAGAUGAGGAUUUUGGUAUCUCCAAGGAUUAGCAGAACAUAGGGAGAGAAAGAGGCCCUGUUAUCUUUGCACAGGGGCGGCCAUUUGACUUCUCAGCGAUGGAAGUCAGCAUUUCCUUCGGUGUAAGUGGUAGCUUUUGACUGGCUGUCAGGAGAGCCCGAGUUUGUUUAAUUUGGAGUAAAGUUUUAUGAGUUAAUCUCCAGUGAGGGAAAGCGGCAGUAAACACAGAACAUAUUGGUCAUUAUUCCUAGUAUUUCUACAUUCUUUCUCAUGCAUCAAAGGAGAAAAAAAUUUCAAAAGAAUGAGGAGGCAUAGUGCUCAAACAUGUGUGUGUGUGUGUGUGCGCACGCGUGUGCCCGCGUAUAAUUUUGUUUUGACCAAACCAUCUGGUGUACAAUAUACUCCAGUAGUGUGAAGGCAAACAUUUACCAGGAGAUUCACAUGGUUUCUGCUGUGAAUAAACAUACUUGCCCAAGACUCUUAAGUUUCUAG